UACGUAGGGGGCUAGCGUUGUUCGGAAUCACUGGGCGUAAAGCGCACGUAGGCGGAUCUUUAAGUCAGGGGUGAAAUCCUGGAGCUCAACCUCGGAACUGCCUUUGAUACAGCAUAUCUUGAGUCCGAUAGAGGUGGGUGGAAUUCCUAGUGUAGAGGUGAAAUUCGUAGAUAUUAGGAAGAACACCGGUGGCGAAGGCGGUCCACUGGAUCGGUACUGACGCUGAGGUGCGAAAGCGUGGGGAGCAAACAGG
rnacentral:rRNA from 1 species